AGUUCAGUGAAUAUCAUUUAGGAAUCAUUUAGAAAAAAUGAAAUGAAUGAAAUUUUACAAUCUUCACAGGACCGAAGAGAGGCUGGCUGAGACCACCGCUCAACUUCAGGUGGUGAGAGAGCUAAAUAGACCUCAAGCUUUGACUACAAGACCAGUCCUGGAGCCACCUCGUGCUGGAAAUCUUCAUACCAUUUCAGUGUUUAGUGGAAAUCUUACUCCAAGAGAAAACUCAGUGGCUUCUACCGCACGUUCACAUCCUCCAAAUAACAGCAUCGAUGCUUUCUUGACCAAGAAGCUAUGGCUUUCACAAGAUCUAUCUAGGUAA
rnacentral:lncRNA from 1 species